AUCAGCUACUAUGACUGCUUCCACUCCCAAUUGCUAGCAAUAGUGACAGUGAGCCCUGACUCCAGACCUGGUGCUUUACACUUAGCAGCUCUUGUAACCCUCAUCACAACCUCUGAUGAUCAUCUCCUUUCCACUCUAUGGAGGAAGAACCCAAAGCACAGAAAGGUUGACUGGCUCACACAGCAGAACCAGUGGAUGCUCCUGGAAUCACAUGGGAACCUGCAUGUCUGCAAUGAGUGUUCCUGCCCCCAGUUGGUCCUGAUUGGGAAAUAAAGUUGCCACCGGCCAAUAUCUGGGCAGUGAGAGAGAGGCAGGAUUUUUAGGAUUCCAGACACCUGUCCGUGUGAGAAGGGGGAAGAUAUCAAAGAGUAAUUUAAAGAGAAUUAUACUAGUUAUGGGUCAGAUAUGUUGAGGUAUUUGAGAGACUGUUAGUCU